AUUGAACGCUGGCGGCAGGCCUAACACAUGCAAGUCGAGCGGAUGAAGGGAGCUUGCUCCUGGAUUCAGCGGCGGACGGGCGAGUAAUGCCUAGGAAUCUGCCUGGUAGUGGGGGAUAACGUCCGGAAACGGGCGCUAAUACCGCAUACGUCCUGAGGGAGAAAGUGGGGGAUCUUCGGACCUCACGCUAUCAGAUGAGCCUAGGUCGGAUUAGCUAGUUGGUGGGGUAAAGGCCUACCAAGGCGACGAUCCGUAACUGGUCUGAGAGGAUGAUCAGUCACACUGGAACUGAGACACGGCCCAGACUCCUACGGGAGGCAGCAGUGGGGAAUAUUGGACAAUGGGCGAAAGCCUGAUCCAGCCAUGCCGCGUGUGUGAAGAAGGUCUUCGGAUUGUAAAGCACUUUAAGUUGGGAGGAAGGGCAGUAAGUUAAUACCUUGCUGUUUUGACGUUACCAACAGAAUAAGCACCGGCUAACUUCGUG
rnacentral:rRNA from 1 species